rnacentral:lncRNA from 1 species
UAACCGACAAGGUCUUCCUUUGCCCGUUUUUUCUUUUAUGUUUAUAUAUGUAUGCAUUUUCUAACUCUGUUUUUAUUCCUUGCAGAUUUUUAUAUGCAUAACCCCGGAGGUGUCCCUGAACGCGUUGGACAAAACGAAACGGGUUCCAAGGUUUACGCCGCUGCCUCCAAGCCUUCUGAUGCUGAUCAUCUGAGGCAGCGUGCUCUGGAGAAUUCUUAUUCUAGGGCGCGUUCCCCUACUCCUCCUAACGAAGU